UACGGAGGGGGCUAGCGUUGUUCGGAAUUACUGGGCGUAAAGCGCACGUAGGCGGCUUUGUAAGUUAGAGGUGAAAGCCCCGGGCUCAACCUGGGAGGUGCGCUUGAUACUCGAGGGCUUGAGUGCGGGAGAGGAGAGUGGAAUUCCCAGUGUAGAGGUGAAAUUCGUAGAUAUUGGGAAGAACACCGGUGGCGAAGGCGGCUCUCUGGACCGUAACUGACGCUGAGGCGCGAAAGCGUGGGGAGCAAACAGG
rnacentral:rRNA from 1 species